GGGGAAUAUUGCGCAAUGGGCGAAAGCCUGACGCAGCAACGCCGCGUGCGGGAAGAAGGCCCUCGGGUUGUAAACCGCUUUCAGUAGGGACGAAAUUGACGGUACCUACAGAAGAAGCCCCGGCCAACUACGUGCCAGCAGCCGCGGUAACACGUAGGGGGCGAGCGUUGUCCGGAUUUAUUGGGCGUAAAGAGCUCGUAGGCGGCUCGGUAAGUCAGGUGUGAAACCUCCAGGCUCAACCUGGAGACGCCACCUGAUACUGCCGUGGCUUGAGUCCGGUAGGGGAGCGUGGAAUUUCUGGUGUAGCGGUGAAAUGCGCAGAUAUCAGAAGGAACACCAGCGGCGAAGGCGGCGCUCUGGACCGGAACUGACGCUGAGGAGCGAAAGCGUGGGUAGCAAAC
rnacentral:rRNA from 1 species